UACAUCUUUGAAAAGCAGAAAAAGAGCCUCCUGCACAACCAAUAAGAAUGCAUCAAAUGGUUUCUGGAUUGUAAGUCAACAACAAAACCCUUGUCUUUUCCAGCAGCCAUUG